GAUUCGAUUCACUAAUAUAUAUAUAUAAUCAACCAAAUAGGUUUACAAAAAUAAAUCAUGAAUCUACAAAUGGUCAAAGUAAAAAACACAAGAUAAUAUUUAUUUGUUUUUAUUCCAGAAAACAUAUCACAUUUUAACCAACUGCAAACGCAACCGUGUCAAGUCGGCAUUGUAGGACAUAAUAGUCACAUAAAUAUUUUAAAUUUCAAAAGAUUUUUCUGUUGUUUAGUUAGCUGAAAUGUAGGAGAACAUAACAUUUUCCAUUUAUAUUAUGAAACACAAAUACCACUCCUUACAUUCAUAUAUAAUAACAUAUAGAUUAAAAGACAAAAUGCACUUCAAAUUUUAUUUUUUAUUUAAUAUGUGCAUCUCAAAUUAAAAAAGGUGUUUAAGUACACUCCAAAUUUAAUAUUGCGUUAUAAAACGCACACUUUUACCAAUUAGUCGGUUAAAAGUGACCGACUAUAACUGGCUAAGGCUUGAAUGUUUAUUAUAGAAGGGGUAAGAUUGGUAAUUUACAUUUUAAAUAUAAGAAUUUUAAAAUAGUUACUAUACAAUUAAAAAAAAUAGAAUUUUGGGUAAAUUCUGUUUUUAGAAUUUUAAAUUUUCAAAAACAGUUUUUAAAAAACAAUUUUUUUUAAAAAAAUACGAUUUUUAAAAACAAAAAACAAUUUUUUUUAAAAAAUACGGUUUUCAAAAACAAAAACAAUUUUUUUUAAAACAAAAUAAAAUUCUUUUAUUAAAAAAUUUGUUUUUGUUAAAAAAUUUGUUUUUGUUUUUAAAAUUUUUGUAACAGUUAAACUUUUUU
rnacentral:lncRNA from 1 species